rnacentral:rRNA from 1 species
UACGUAGGGGGCUAGCGUUGUCCGGAUUUAUUGGGCGUAAAGAGCGUGUAGGCGGCCAGGUAGGUCUGCUGUGAAAACUCGAGGCUUAACCUCGAGAUGUCGGUGGAAACUGCCUGGCUAGAGUCCGGAAGAGGAGAGUGGAAUUCCUGGUGUAGCGGUGAAAUGCGCAGAUAUCAGGAAGAACACCCAUGGCUAAGGCGGCUCUCUAGUACGGUACUGACGCUGAGACGCGAAAGCGUGGGGAGCGAACAGG